ensembl:lncRNA
CUCUACCAUGGCUCCUGGGCAGGGGACAACGACACUGGGUGUCCCCACAGCAGGGUGACCCUAUGUGGGGUUGCUGGCUCUACUGUUCACUUUCUCUUCCAGAUGGUGCAGCGUUCAAUAUUGAAUUGUGACCACUCUUUAGCCGUGAGAUAACCUUGCUCCAGUAGUGCUGAGUGCCCACAAGGAAUAUCUCCAGUGUAGUUUGAUGGAAGUGAAAGAAAAAAGAAAUCCAGCCUGGUACUUGUGAGUUGCACUGUCUGCAUGUAUCAACGUUCAACUCAGAAAGAGGAGGAGUCCUAGUGCUGAGCUGCAGUUUUCUAGGCAGUGUAAUGUUUUCUCGGAGCUUCUGAGACCAACGCAUCAUUGUUUGGAUUCACGAUGAUGGAUAGUGUCCCUGUCUCUCCAAGUGGAAAGCUUCUGCAUAACAAAUGACCCUCGGUGCUGCUCUUGGAGACUUAGUCACAGAAUGCAGAGCCAUGGGUACCUGUUCACGUGGCAUCUCCAUGUUUGCAUCUGACAUGGAUAUUCAAGACCUGCCUGGACUCUAUCCUCCUCAACCUACUGUGGAGAAGAGCUGCCAUGCUGUGAUGAUCAUUGGCCAGUUGCACUCCCCUGGACACAUCUCACCAGGAUGUACGCAUGCUUGCUAAGCUGCAGAAGUGGGACUCACAGCCGUCUCCAGAGGACUGUGAAAGAUGGGGGUCAGCUCUCCUCCAGCCGGGAUGAGGACCCUGCCCCUAUUUCUGCCUGGGGAAGGGCAAGAUGCACUGAGUUAGGACCCCGUCAUCCUCUCACUGGACCUGCGUUGAACAGAGCUGGGCCCAUCUCGCAUACUUUCCGCUAGCAGCUCGAAGGAUUUAGGGCUGGAGGUGGACUAAUAGCAACAUUUUAAUGAGAAGAAAGAUGCAGAAGGACAUCUUCAUUUCACACGAAGGACUAGGCAUCUGCCUGGAAGUUUAGGGUCGCAGAGAGAGGCUGAAGCAGAGAAGGGGAAAGAAACGCACCUGUCUGAAUUGCCAGCCUACAGACCCAGGCUCCCUCUGCAAUCACUGCCACCAAUAUCCUGGAAAUAUUCAAUUUAUUUAAGACAAUUCUGAAGCUCCCUUAUAGAGCAGCCAACAAAGCUGCUAUUGCAAAUAAGACAAAUACCUUACCCUGAAUAUGUCCAGUUCUUUUCUACCCCCGUUGCUUCCUGUUGGAUGACACCUACAGUCAUUUGCAAACAUGAGUAACAGACAUCCUGCAUAUGUUUACUCUUCCUUGCAAGCAUUUGCAGUUAGAGGUUGAGUUACUUCAGCUCAGACAGCGUUAUUGUUCUGUGUGCAUGGAAGUGCUGCAGUGUGAACUGGAAUCUGG